GACGAACGCUGGCGGCAUGCUUUACACAUGCAAGUCGAACGGUAACAGGCCGCAAGGUGCUGACGAGUGGCGAACGGGUGAGUAAUGCAUCGGAACGUGCCCAGUCGUGGGGGAUAACGCAGCGAAAGCUGUGCUAAUACCGCAUACGCUCUAUGGAUGAAAGCGGGGGACCGUAAGGCCUCGCGCGAUUGGAGCGGCCGGUGUCAGAUUAGGUAGUUGGUGGGGUAAAGGCUCACCAAGCCAACGAUCUGUAGCUGGUCUGAGAGGACGACCAGGCACACUGGGACUGAGACACGGCCGAGACUCCUACGGGAGGCAGAAGUGGGGAAUUUUGGACGAUGGGCGCAAGCCUGAUCCAGCAAUGCCGCGUGCAGGAGGAAGGCCUUCGGGUUGUAAACUGCUUUUGUACGGAACGAAACGGCGAGCUCUAAUACAGUUUGCUAAUGACGGUACCGUAAGAAUAAGCACCGGCUAACUACGUGCCAGCAGCCGCAGUAA
rnacentral:rRNA from 1 species